CCUCUACAUGCACCAGGACGGUGCCGACAUCUCGCGGCUGCCAGCGUCAAGUUCGGCAGACGUACCCAAAAACUACCAGAGGUGCGCGUGUCUUGCAGCGACACUUUCUGCCUCGGCUUUGUAACCAAACCAUGAUGUAGAGGCGGCCGAUUGGUCAGAACUCGCGGCGUAAUUGCGCCUGGGAAUCUGAUUGGUCGGGCCUAGUAACGAACAUCCUGGAUCAUCUCCUCGCUUCUCGGAGAUCAUCGAUCCAACGGAUUUCUCGACAGGAGUUCGAUAUCACUCGCCAAGCUUAUCAGUCGACUGCGCUUGCUCUUUCUUCCGUAUCAAUUUAUCAUUCUGUAUCUCGUUGUGCGUGUGUGUAUAAAUUCUGUAUUUUGUUGAAUAAAAUCUGUUCUGAGAGAUCGCAAAUAAAAAAGGUGAAAUCCCUUGUUGUGUCCGGCUUCCUCAUUGGUUGUUACGGUGGUCAGUAACUAGCCAUUCGGCCCGCGGACAUUGGAUUUCCCACACUCUUAUUACGCAAAACUUUGAACGCAUUUUUCUUGAAACUGUUUUUUUCAUGUCAUGAUAUCUCAAGCUCUACUAAACCGAUUUACUUGAAAUUUGAAGAGCUGCAAUCGUGACAACCAUCGUGCACCAUUUUUUUGGGGCCCCCCACUUCGUCAGCCUAUAUCUUUUUCAAUGUUGAAUUAUUUCACUAUUUGUUUUUUCAUGUAUUCUUGAAAUAUUAUUAAAUAUCUUGUAACAUCAUAGAUAGUGAAAAUAUUAUUCGUCUUUUUGUUAUUGCACUUGAAAAAGUACCUAAAAUUCAUGCCUCUAGACCAGAAUAUCCCCUUAAUAUGAAUUCAACGAACUAGUUUACCAUGACCUUCGGAUGACCUUGAAAGCAAAAAAUGAAAAUUUCAAGAAAAAAUGUACCGUUUAUGUUCUGUUAGUGUUCUGUUUAAGUAACAAUAAAUAAAUAAAAAACUUGUUUAUAACUUAUUGUUACUUAAACAGAACACUAAUAGAACAGUAACAGAAAACCAACAGAACAAAAACGGUACCACAGUUCUCCUGUUUAAUCUUAAUUUGUCACGAGAGCAACCGUUGUACAAUAUUAACUUGUAAAAAAUGUAUAAUAAUAGUGGAAAGAUUAUAUAUUACUAAUACUUGGUGAAUGCAAAAGGAAAGCACGUGAAGUAGCAAUCUGUAUGCUACAAAGUACCCAGAGAGGCAUCAUCCAUCUGCACAAACAUUUUACAAUAUUGAAAAAAAUUUACGAAGUUAUGAAGAAUUUAGAAAGAAAAAGCGAAGCAAACCAUUUAGAAAUACAUCCAAAGGCAAUGUUGAUACUGUUUUACAACAUAUAGAAGAAAAUCCGCAUACAUCCAUUCGUGUAAUUAGUGCUAACACUGGUUUAUCUAAGAGUUUAGUUCAUAGGAUCAUAAAAAAAAAAUAAUUAUUAUCCUUACAAAAUGAGAAAAGUACAGCAUUUACACGAAACUUAUCCAUAACGAUGUCUUUCAUUUUAUAUUUUGACUAGUGACUUCAUACGAAGAUAAUCCUGAAUUACUAAACUACAAUACAUUCUGUGGACGAAUGAGUGCAAAUUUUCUGAUAAUGGUAUAAUUAACCGUUAUAAUCAUCAUUUCUGGUCUAAGAACAAUCCUCUCUGGUUUAGAGAACAUAAUUUUCAACAGAAAAUUUGAUGUGGACUAAUAUACGGGGUCAUCCUGGACCUUAUUUUUAUGAACAACAUAUAACAUUUACAAUGUAUUUAAAUUUUCUUUCCACGCAACUUCCAACAUUAAUGCAAGAGCUUCUAGAUGAUAAUCGGCAGCGUAUUUAUUUCCAGCAAAAUGGUUUCCCACCUCAUAAUGCUCGUUUCAUUUAUAAUUACUUAAAUUUAAAAUUUUGAGAACGUUGUCUGGGCACUUAUAGCCCAAUUGCUUGGCCACCACGAUUUAUCACCACUUGAUUUUUUUUUAUAGGUUCAUCUACAGUUAAAAGUUUAUACUGUUUCAAUACAAAAUAAGGAACAUUUAUAGCAGCGAAUCCAUGCAACAUGCGAAGAACUUUGCUACGACAGUAUCGUAAGAGCCACCAGUGCAAAUUUCCUACGUCGAGCGGAAUUGUGCUUAGAAGUACAUGGAUUUUAAUUCGAACAUUUGAUGUGACAAUUAAAUGAAAUCGUUUCCCUUCAUUUAAUCAAGGUUCCUGAAUUAAAUAAACUGUGAAUGGAUUAGAGACACGAUUUCUAACUUGAGACACUAUAUCUUUUACAAGUUCUGG